GAGCGGUAUUGUUUCUUCGGAAACGAGUAGAGCGGCGCACGGGUGCGGAACACGUGUGCAACCUGCCUUUAUCUGGGGGAUAGCCUUUCGAAAGGAAGAUUAAUACCCCAUAAUAUUUUGAAUGGCAUCAUUUAAAAUUGAAAACUCCGGUGGAUAGAGAUGGGCACGCGCAAGAUUAGAUAGUUGGUAGGGUAACGGCCUACCAAGUCAGUGAUCUUUAGGGGGCCUGAGAGGGUGAUCCCCCACACUGGUACUGAGACACGGACCAGACUCCUACGGGAGGCAGCAGUGAGGAAUAUUGGACAAUGGGUGAGAGCCUGAUCCAGCCAUCCCGCGUGAAGGACGACGGCCCUAUGGGUUGUAAACUUCUUUUGUACAGGGAUAAACCUUUCCACGUGUGGAAAGCUGAAGGUACUGUACGAAUAAGCACCGGCUAACUCCGUG
rnacentral:rRNA from 1 species